AUGGCCAUGGCUCAGCACCCAUCACCCAUCACCAAGGCCCAUCACCCAUCGCCCAUGGCUGCUGCUCCACACCCAGCACCCAUCACCCAUCACCAAGGCCCAUCACCCAUCGCCCAUGGCUGCUGCUCCACACCCACCACCCAUCACCAAUGCCCAUCACCCACCAUCCAUGGCCAUGGCUCCACACCCACAACCCACCACCGAGUCCCAGCACCCAUCACCAAGUCACAUCACCCUUCACUGUGGCUCCGCACCCAUCACCCAUGUCUGAGGCCCAUCACUGAGACUCAUCACCCAUCACCCAUGGCCAUGGCUCUACAUCCAUCACCCAUGGCUGCUCCUCCACACCCAAUCACCCAUCACCCAUGGCCAUGGCUCUGCACCCACCUCCCACCACCGAGUCCCAGCACCCAUCACCCAUGGCCAUGGCUCCACACCCACCACCCAUCACGGAGGCCCAUCAUCCAUCACCGAGGCCCAUCACCCAUCAUCCUUCACCCACAGCCAUGGCUCCGCACCCACCACCGAGUGCCAGCACCCAGCACCGAGGCCCAUCACCCAUCAUCCAUCACCCCUGGCUGCUCCUCCACACCCAAUCACCCAUCACUCAUGGCCAUGGCUCUGCACCCACCUCCCACCACCGAGUCCCAGCACCCAUCACCCAUGGCCAUGGCUCCACACCCACCACCCAUCACGGAGGCCCAUCAUCCAUCACCGAGGCCCAUCACCCAUCAUCCUUCACCCACAGCCAUGGCUCCGCACCCACCACCGAGUGCCAGCACCCAGCACCGAGGCCCAUCACCCAUCAUCCAUCACCCAUGGCCAUGGCUCUACACCCAUCAUGCUCUACAUCCAUCACCCAUGGCUGCUCCUCCACACCCAAUCACCCAUCACCCAUGGCCAUGGCUCUGCACCCACCUCCCACCACUGAGUCCCAGCACCCAUCACCCAUGGCCAUGGCUCCACACCCACCACCCAUCACGGAGGCCCAUCAUCCAUCAUCCAUCACCCCUGGCCAUAGCUCAGCACUCAUCACCAAGGCUCAGCACCCAUCGCCCAUGUCUGAGGCCCAUCACUGAGGUCCAUCACACACCGCCCAUGGCCAUGGCUCCGCACCCAUCACCCACCACCGAGUCCCAUCACUGAUCACCCAUGACCAUGGCUCCACACUCACCACCAAGGCUCCACACCCAUUGCCCAUCACCAAGGUCCAUCACCCAUGGCCAUGGCUCCGCACCCACCACCCACCACUGAGUCCCAGCACCCAUCACCCACCACCGAGGCCCAUCAUCCAUCACCCAUGGCCAUGGCUCUACAUCCCUCACCCAUGGCUGCUGCUCCACACCCACCACCCAUUACUGAGUCUCAGCACCCAUCACCAAAGCCCACCACCCAUCACUGAGUCCCAGCACCCACCACCCAUCACCCAUGGCCAUGGCUCCACACCCACCACCCAUCACUGAGUCCCAGCACCCAUCACCCAUCACCCAUGGCCAUGGCUCUACAUCCCUCACCCAUGGCCAUGGCUCCACACCCACCACCCACCACUGAGUCCCAGCACCCAUCACCCACAGCCAUGGCUCCACACCCACCACCGAGGCUCCGCACCCAUUGCCAAGGCCCAUCACCCAUCACCCAUGGCCAUGGCUCUGCAUCCACCACCCACCACCGAGUUCCAGCACCGAGGCCCAUCAGCCAUCAUCCAUCACCCAUGGCCAUGGCUCCGCACCCACCACCCACCACUGAGUCCCAGCACCCAUCGUCCAUCACCCAUGGCCAUGGCUCUACAUCCCUCACCCAUGGCCAUGGCUCCACACCCACCACCCAUCACCGAGUCCCAGCACCCACCACCCAUCACCGAGGCCCAUCAGCCAUCACCCAUGGCUGCUGCUCCACACCCACCACCCAUCACCCAUCACCCAUGGCCAUGGCUCCACACCCACCACCUCAGACAUUGCCCAUGUCUGAGGCCCAUCACUGAGGCCCACCACCCAUCACCCAUUGCCCCAGGGCCAUGCCCCCGCCCCCCCCCCCCCCCCCCGAGUCCCAGCCCCCCCGCCGGUGGCCGCGGUGUCACCUGAAGGCGAGGCAGUGGCGCUGCUGGCGCUCGGUGAUGAGGCGCAGGGGGUCGUGGCAGCAGAGGCGC
rnacentral:lncRNA from 1 species